GACGGCGUCGUGAAUCCCGCGACGCUGCACGCAGGAAGGAUAUCGCAGAGGAACCGCGCGAACAUCCUGGCUGGCGGUUCUGAAUUAAAUUCUCAGGAAAAUUAUCGUUUCGUAUCAGAAAUUUUCGAGGAAAAUCUCUCGUAAAAGCGCGACAACGGUCCAACGAACGGAAACGUCCUGUUUUUUGGCGAUUCAAGAAAUUUAAAUGUAAUCCCAUUUUUAUUUAUUUUCACAUCUUCUGUCAAUCAAGAUUGGUGAAUUAAAUUCAAGCGGAGACAGUCGCGAACAAGUUACCCGCUUCGUGUUGGAAUUUCUCGGAGGACGCGCAGCAGAGGGCGCGCUGCAGAUUGAUGGACGACACCUGCGUGCGUGCUUAUCGAGAGCGCACGAUCGUGACGAGAUAAUGAAAUAGGUCACGCGCGCGGAAUUUGCCCGACACUGAGUGGCCUGAUUGCAUGUGGCUGAAUCAAGACGCACCGAUCCAGAUGCACUUUGGUAUCAUAUGUAAAGGAUAAUCGCAUCUAACCGAGGCGUACAAGGCGGCACACUUUCCCUCUCCGAUCUCCAACUGUGAUUAACAUCGCGAGGGUAGCGCUGCGCAUUCCUCGCGGAUUAAUCAUGUUUAUUUAAUCUCAAUUUCGACGUACACGCUAAUCGGCAGCUUUAGCGCGCGAUGCAAAUAGGUUAUUGGGAUCUUCUUGCUGUGCGUGCAACGUUGAGUCAUUAUUUAUUGGUUAUUCUAAGAAGCGAGGACGACGUGGCUAAUCGGCAAUCUGUGAUAGCUUUGUGUUGCUAUACGUCCUGAAGCGAAUGAAAUACAAAAUACUACGUACUUUGGCCAUAAACUAUUGCAGUUUCGUUCCCUAGAGCGAAUUAUAUGUAAAAUACUAAUUAUACAAUAUUUCUGUUUUAAAAGACCGAUCAUGUACCGGUCAUGAAUUAGCUAUAAAAACACUAGAAAAUCGUGAGAAACUUGAGAAAUCUAUUUUGCAUCAUUAUUUAUAAUCUCAUUUUUCAGUGCAUUGCUUGACUCACUUUUCCAAUAACUUUUCUAAAUUCUUUUUCCCCUUAUUUUUGCAAUAUACACGUGUAUGAAAUUUCUGAGAAAGAGAGUGAGGCCGGAAAGGUUGAAGCAAGCGACCCAAGAAUUAAAGGAUAUCGUUACGCACUACGCGAAGCGAUCGCGGUUCGACCAACAGUGGGUCCAUCGAGUUCCCGCGAGUUUCCGGGCUUGCAGGGAGCGAGGUGUUGCAUAAAUCGGUCCGAUUACGCCACCGGAAACUGCGGUCCGCCGUGUAUUCCUCAGGACCCGUUUGUCGGUAAGCGCGUAAGCGCGAGAUGCGUAUACGCGCAUGUGUGCGUGCGUGCGUGCGUGCGUACUCGCUCGUAGUGAUUACAUAAUCGUGAACGCCGGCCUAACCGGCCGGCCCCGGCGAAAUCGCCGAAAAUUCCACGUUUCGCGUGCGUAUCGCACCGGUUAUUACACGCACGUUCGCCUCGCUCUGCUCCGCUCCGCUCCGCGUCGCGUCGCGUCGCGUCGCGUCGCGCCGCAUCACCUCGAUAUGUACAACGCGCGCACCGAUGCGUUCUGCAUCGCACACGACCUGCAUUCGCUUUCGCGUUCCUGAAGGUCCGUGAGGUUGCAACGCCCGACCGAAAUCGGAACGUCGUUUCCACGUUCUUCGUCGUGAGCGCCGCUACUGUUGCCGCCGCUGCAGCUACUUAUUAAUAACCGUCGUAAAUCU
rnacentral:lncRNA from 1 species